rnacentral:lncRNA from 1 species
UUGUAGGUCACAAAUAGGAAUCCAUAGGUUACGUUCCUGCAUGAUCAUCCAUAUUGUCCACAAGUUAUUUACAUGCAAAAGUUACUUAAGAAAUAUUUAAAUCAUAUUAUUCUUAUUAUGAGAUGAUAAUAACAUUCUCAAACAAACACUUAUCUGUCUCACUAUGGGUAAGAAGGUGGAGUUGGUAAUGAUGCAAUAGGCAGGACAGCAGCAUAACAUAUUUCUGGAAUGGAUCUUAAGGCCCAACCAGUGAACCAAAUAUACGCCGGGUGUUAUUCCCUCCACCCUCACGUUUGCUCCCACCACUUCUCCAACUUUUUAUAACUUUUUUUAAUUACAAAAAUAACCUUUUUUUUAUUUUAUAUAAAUAUUUAUUUUUUACUUUUACUUAUUUUAAUUUAAAACCCUAUUCUCUUCUUUAUUGCUGUGGCAUUACCCCCAAACCCCCACAUAACCCCUUCGUUCCUCACAUACCAUUCUUUUCUCCAAAUUCCAAUAUUUUACUUCUCAUUUUUAUUUAUUCUUCUUUUCCAUACUUUCAUACCAGUGACCUCCAACCUAAUCACCACUUCUUCAUCUCCAACCUCUCUCCAAACCAUCCCCUAGUUCAUAACCAUCUCACUAAACUCUCUCUUUCUCAUUCAAAUAUAACUCCUGACGCCACUCACUCCUCUUCUUUCUUAACCAUAUUUCUUCUUCUCUCUCACGAUUUAAUUUCAGCUUUUUUCCUUGUUAUCAAAAUCUCUACUUUGCUACUUUUCCCUUCUCAGCUUCUUCUUCUAUGUUGGGAAUAUGAUUUCGUGAUCCAUAGCUUUUCUGGAUUCGUGGUUCCAG